GCUACGGGUGGCAGCAGUGGGGAAUAUUGGGCAAUGGGCGCAAGUUUGACCCAGCAACGCCGCGUGAAGGAAGAAGGCUUUCGGGUUGUAAACUUCUUUUAUCAGGGACGCAGCAAGUGACGGUACCUGAUGAAUAAGCCACGGCUAACUCCGUGCCAGCAGCCGAGGUAAUACGUAGGUGGCAAGCGUUAUACGGAUGUUCUGGGUGUAAAGGGCGUGUAGGCGGGAGUGCAAGUCAGAUUUGAAAACUAUGGGCUCAACCCAUAGCCUGCAUUUGAAACUGUACUUCUUGAGUGCUGGAGAGGCAAUCGGAAUUCCGUGUGUAGCGGUGAGAUGCGUAGAUAUACGGAGGAACACCAGUGGCGAAGGCGGAUUGCUGAACAGUAACUGACGCUGAGGCGCGAAAGCGUGGGGAGCAAACAGGAUUAGAUACCCCGGUAGUC
rnacentral:rRNA from 1 species